GACAGCUAAGCUACGUAUGUGGCGACUGUGGCUGUGUAGGUAGAGUAGUCAUCUUGCGAUCAGCAGGUUGUAGGUUUGAUUCCAGCUUCGUCCUGCCAUGU